rnacentral:rRNA from 1 species
UCAGGGUUGUUAACGAUAAUACUACAGUGUAGCUUGUGGACAGUACUCUCACCGAGUAUUGUUGAACACUGUUUGUCGAACGGUACUUGCUCUGUACUACGCAUUGUAUGUGUUGUGUUCAGCAAUUCCCGUUUAAGUGAAGAACACAGUGCAACAUGUGCACGCUGUUAUUCACUACGUUAGUUAGCUAGUUUACUAACGUAUGAUAGCGGUGCAUACUGUAUGACAUGAACAUAUCGUUGUUCACUGUUUAAUCGCUCUCGCGACUUAUGAGCGUGGUUGAACGGAGACAAUGUGAAGGACAACGAUGUUCGCCAUGUGGAUGUGUCAUUUGCAAUGCAACCUGAGCUCAGGCGUGAUUACCCGCUGAACUUAAGCAUAUCAUUUAGCGGAGGAAANNNAACUAAA